CUCAUUAAAUCAGUUAUAGUUUAUUUGAUGGUCUCUUUUGUCUUUUUUUACCUACUUGGAUAACCGUGGUAAUUCUAGAGCUAAUACAUGCGCAAGGUCCCGAGCGCGGGGGGUGGGGCUUCACGGCUCCAUUCUCGCAUGCGCAGAGGGAUGUAUUUAUUAGGUUAAAAACCAGCGUAGUCAGCAAUGGCUACAAACUCCCCUGGUGAUUCAUAGUAACUCUUUCGGAUCGCAUUCAUG
rnacentral:rRNA from 1 species